GCUGGGCACGGUGGCACGUGCCUGUAAUCCCAGUGACUCGGGAGGCUGAGGCAGGAGGAUCUCAAGCUUUUCAUCUCAAAAGACAAAAAGGGCUGGGGAUGUGGCACCUCUGGAUUCAAUCCCCAGUAUCAAUAAAAAGAAGAACAAAAGAAAAGAGAAAUCCUCUCUCCC
rnacentral:sRNA from 1 species